UACGUAGGGUGCAAGCGUUAAUCGGAAUUCUGGGCGUAAAGCGUGCGCAGGCGGUGAUGUAAGACAGGUGUGAAAUCCCCGGGCUUAACCUGGGAACUGCAUUUGUGACUGCAUCGCUGGAGUGCGGCAGAGGGGGAUGGAAUUCCGCGUGUAGCAGUGAAAUGCGUAGAUAUGCGGAGGAACACCGAUGGCGAAGGCAAUCCCUGGGCCUGCACUGACGCUCAUGCACGGAAAGCGUG
rnacentral:rRNA from 1 species